rnacentral:rRNA from 1 species
GACGAACGCUGGCGGCGCGCUUAACACAUGCAAGUCGAACGGUGAACUCCGCUUGCGGGGGGAUCAGUGGCGAACGGGUGAGUAACACGUGGGCAACCUGCCCUCAGCUCUGGGAUAACUCCAAGAAAUUGGGGCUAAUACCGGAUAUGACCGCUGACCGCAUGGUCUGGUGGUGGAAAGAUUUAUCGGCUGGGGAUGGGCCCGCGGCCUAUCAGCUUGUUGGUGGGGUAGUGGCCUACCAAGGCGACGACGGGUAGCCGGCCUGAGAGGGUGACCGGCCACACUGGGACUGAGACACGGCCCAGACUCCUACGGGAGGCAGCAGUGGGGAAUAUUGCGCAAUGGGCGAAAGCCUGACGCAGCGACGCCGCGUGGGGGAUGACGGCCUUCGGGUUGUAAACCUCUUUCAGCAGGGACGAAGCGAAAGUGACGGUACCUGCAGAAGAAGCACCGGCCAACUACGUG